UUUGGCUAGGCCAGGAGGUAACCAGGGCGUGGAAACCAAACAGUUUCCAUGAUGUUCUUGGAUAUCUUCCCAGUAAAUCCAUGGCUGCCAUACUGCUAAAUGCAAAAUGCAAGCUCAGGUUCUCGCUAUAGAUUUCCUGCUGCUUCAUUUUGCUGACUCUGGUGUUGCCAUGGGAGAAUCUCACUUAUGGCCUGGCUAGGUAAAAAUCUUAGCACUUUAUCCUCAGCAAGCUCAACCUGUUUCUCCUGGGCUUUGUUUCCCUAAGUCAUUGAUCAAGAAGCAGCAACCCCUGUCAUCCCAAGCAUAGGUCCCAAGAGGUUACCCCUGAGAUGUCCUAGCAUUCAGGCUGCUAAGAGUUUGCACUUAGGUUUAUGCCACUUGCCCUCAGUCCAGGAGAGUCACAAGUUUGAACCCCAAUGGAAAAACAAAUAAUUUGUUCCAUGGCUGCAAUAAAUGCAGCCUGAUGUCUCAAACUUCUUCCACUGAUUAUUCCUUAAACCAGAAGAGGUAUGUGUCACCUUUGAACUGGCCUUUAUUAUGGAGAGCAAAUUUCUCCAACAUAUGUGCUAUGGCUUCUUGGUCAAAUAUGUCGUUUUCAUAUUUGCAGGGCAGAGAGAUUUUGCAGAAAGCUCACACCUCUCACAUGAUUGCAGCUGAGACCUCAGCGUUUACAUCCCGAAACACUGACACUAACUCUUCUACUCAUCUGGUGAGGGCCAGUCCCCAGGGCGAGAUCCGGUCCUUUCUGCAUGUUCCCGGAGUGACCUGCCCAAGAGAGAUCUGGUUUACAGAAGGACUACUCGAUGUGAAGUGAUGUUCCUGCCUUGGACCCAUGGAUUCACUCCAUCUUUGUCAUUCUAUCUCUGGUGGACAUUGAACUUUAUAAAAUGUGAUAAAAAGUACUUUUAGUCUUGGAAGGAGCAAACUGGACUGUCUGAAAAACAACUUUUUAAGGUAGAUUUUUCUUGUUGUUAGUUAUGCCUGUGAUCUUUUCUCUCCUGAAGAAAAAGGCAAAGCAUGUCUAUAAAGUAGUAUUUAUUUCAUAGCAAGAGAUAUUUGAUUAUUCAUUUUCUCAGUGGGA
rnacentral:lncRNA from 1 species